GUUUUCUUUUUCUUUUCUUUCUUUUUUUUUUGAGACGGAGUCUCCCUCUGUUGCCCACGCUGGAGUGCAGUGGCCCGAUCUCGGCUCACUACAGUCUCUGAACCCGGGGAGGGUUCACGCCAUUCUCCUGCCUCAGCCUUCCCAUUAGCUGGGACUACAGGCGCCCGCCACCACACUGGGCUAAUGUUUUGUAUUUUUAGUAAAGACGGGGUUUCACUGUGUUAGUCAGAUGGUCUCCAUCUCCUGACCUUGUGAUCUGCCCGCCUCGGCCUCCCAAAGUGAUGGGAUUACAGGCGUGAGCCACCGCACCCAGCCGGUUUUAUUAGUAAAAAUAGUUCUAAUUUAAGAAUUUUAUCCUUAAUUUUUUUUUAAUUUUUAUUUUUUGAGGCAGAGUCUCGCUCUGUUGCCCAGUGCAAUGGUCUGAUCUCGGCUCACUGCAACCUCCACCUCCCGGGUUCAAGCGAUUCUCCUGCCUCAGCCUUCCAAGUUACCGGGAUUACAGGCACAUGCCACCACACUUGGCUAAUUUUUGUAUUUUUAGUAGAGAUGGGGUUUCACCAUGUUGGCUGGUCUUGAACUCCUGACCUCAGGUGAUCUGCCUGCCUCAGCCUCCCCAAGUACUGGGAUUACAGGUGGGAGCCACUGCACCCAGCCAGUAUUACACUUUAAGCAGCAAAUUGGUUAGGACAAAAACAGUCAGAUGGAGGAAGAAUCAUUUGUUAAAAAGAUCUCUGUAGGAAGAAGAAAGUAGUGAAGAACCCUAACCAAAGUAGCUGAGAGUCCCUCUGCUCUCCUGGCCCGGGGCCAGCACUCACAGCAGCUGCAGCUGGUCCUGCCUCCGGAUAAGAGCGUUCUUCUUGUUGACCAGGGUGAACCACUCCUGGAUCAGCACCUCCUCCUGCAGCUUGUUGGCACCUGCAUUGGACAGGGACAGUCACCAGGCCUGCCCCCUGCCCCCGGUAUCAGUGUAGGGGGUUGGGGGAGGGGGUUUGCUCCCUUGUGACAUCCCAGAAGCCAGAACUGGGUGCCUCAAGGAAGCCACUUCAGGGCCUCAGCAUGCCUGGCUGUAAAAUGGGAACGCUGACGCCAGCCGUGCCUCUUCCCAGCUUCCAAGGUCAGGAACAGCUGCAGGGCCGGGCAGACCUAGUGACAUGUUGGGGAAGGGACCCCCAGAUGCAUGCCCCACCUGACUCCAUAAGGCUCCUCAGCUGCGUCUCCACCUCAGAUGCCCGCCCAUCUAUCUGCCUCUGCUCCUGUUCCAGGGCCUGCAGCUCUGCACACACAUACUGACUUGUGUCCUGGAACCGUUGCUGGGGUGGAAAAGGCAGAGAACAGGGUGGACUCAGCCCAGGCCCUGAAUAGGAGGUGCUCAACCAUCAGCUCCUCCCACUUAGCCCUCCUUACCAGCCCAGCCUCCUCCCCUGGGCUUGGGGGUGGCUCCUCCGAGAGGGGACUCCCACCUGCAGACAGAGAUGAUGAUAAGGCACCCCCUAACCACCACCCAUCCCCAGGAAGUCCCCAGUCCAGGCUUUGUGAACAGCCUGAACUGAGAUGGUCACCACUCCUGCUACUCACCAGGGGGCUGCUGAGAGGCUGCGGCUGUGGGUGGGCCCGGGGCAGGGCUGGGGUCAGGGGCCGGGCCUUCCUGUGGAAGAAGGGGCCAGUGAGGGCUGGGAGGGGUUUCCCGCCAGCCUGGGCCUGGGGCCAGCCAGAGCCACUCACACAGAGGGGAGGGGGGGUCCUUGACCCCAGCCCUUGCCCGACCCUGCCCCUCCUCUAGUCCUGCAUGCACAGAAUCCCUGGGCCCACCUCCUUCCAGGGAAAAUGCCUCCUCAAGCAAAGGCCACGGCCUUCAUCCUUCCUGGCCCUGUGGCCCUGGGCCCAUCCACGCCCAGGCUCCGAGCCUCCCAAUUCCCCUCCUGGGGCUGGGCUGAGCUCCGGCCUCACAGGGUGAGAGCCUUUGAAGGGCCCAGCCCAGGCCUCUCCUCCCCACUCUCUUUUUUUUUUUUUUUUUUGAGACGGAGUCUCGCUCUGUAACCCUGGCUGGAGUGCAGUGGCAGGAUCAUGGCUCACUGCAACCUCCACCUCCUGGUUCAGGUGAUUCUCCUGCCUCAGCUUCCCAAGUAGCCACCUGCCACGGGGAUUUUCGUAUUUUCAGUAGAGACGGAGCUUCACCAUGUUGGCCGGGCUGGGCUCGAACUCCUGACCUCAGGUGAUCCGCCCACUUCAGCCUCCUAAAGUGCUAGGAUUACAGGUGUGAGCCACCACGCCCAGCCUCGACUCCUCCUCCAUGGAACUCCCUCAGGCCACUUCUGACUUCUGUCAGCUAGUGCUGGCUUCCCAUCAUGGCCAGGGCCCCAUGCAGUGACCAUUGCACUCACUCGAUAUGGCCCCAUCCGUGUGAUCCAGCCCAGCCCUGCCUCCUGCAGAGGCCCCACCCAGGCUCCCUCCCCUUCGGUCCUCAGGGCUUCCCAGACCCGGACCCUCCCGAGCCAGCACCUCCACAUCCUGGCCAAAAGGGGGUGCCCUGCUGCAUUUUCAGUUCCCACACCCAGGAGCGGCUGCUGCAUGCUCACACACACAGGACAAGCCAGGCUGGCUGGAUCUCCAAAUUUUAGCCUGGAAGGGCAGGGCUGACCCCAUGUGCCUACCCGCCCCUAGUGACUUGCUGGGACUGUUAGUGCUGGGGGUCCCCAACUUGCGGCUCAGCUGACAGCCUGGCCCCUCAACUGCUCCUGACCUGGCCCCCCAAGUUUGGGUCAUCUGACCUGUGUCAGGGUCAUGGGGCAGGGACAGUAGUUGAGCCACCCAUGUCCACUCCCACCUGUACCUCUCCGAGAGGCAGCCCUGGACAUCCCUGGCUCAGGGGCCAUCCUCUCUGGCCUGGGGCAGUGGUGGCUUCCCACCAGCCACCAUCAUGGCCUGCCCGCUGACUCAAGCUGAAACCGAGGCCUCUCUGACACUCCCCCCCACCUUUUAGGUGUAACUGUUUCACACCUCUCCUCAGUCCCCCAGUCUCAUGCCAAAGCCUCAGGCAGCUCCACCCUCAAUGUUCCUACCACCCUGAGCCACGCCUAGACUCGGCCCCCUGGCCACAGUGACCGACUUUCAGUUCCCAAAAUAGCUUUCUCAGCCUGGAGUCAGCCUCCAUCUUGGGCUGCCUGGUACCAACGUGACCUCCAUGACCCAGCCCAGCCCUACUUCCUCCAGAGACCCCCUGCCGGGGCUCCCACACUCUUCCCACCGCCCUCCCUGACUUCCAUGUCUCCAGAAGCCUCCUCUGAUCCCCAGGCUGGGCAGAUGCUGCUCCCAUGGCCUCUCCCAUCACAGCUCCAACCCCCACUCACCCCAUCACAGCUGCUGGUUUCCCAUGUCUCCCCCUCAUACAGAGCUGGGCCCAGAAAAUACACCCGGGGUACACUGACUAAAAACAACAGCUCAUAUCUACCAAGUGUUUCUGUGCCCGGCACUUAAAGCACUUUAUGUGCAUUGACUCACCGGAUCCUCCCAACAGCCCCGGGAGGCAGGGACCAUGACCCUCCCCGCUUUACAGAUGAGGAAACUGAGGGUCAGAGAUGAGGCUCCUAAAGGGUCUGGUCUAGGACCCAGGGUUGUCUAACCCAAAACUUUUUUUCCGAGCUUGGCCACCAACUUGCUGUGUGCCUCGGGGCCAGUCACACCCAUGGGGCCAUUGUUUGUGUCCUUGUAUGUAAAAUGGGAGAAAGCCCAGCCCUGUGUGACCUGGGAGCUGCAGGGCUUCUAGAAAGGAAUCUAAGGAAACACACCGCUCCCCUCUUUUUGACAGCAAUCUGCAGAGAGCCUCAAUGCCACCUUGCAAAAGGCUUUCAUACACACUGUAAGAGCCCAUGGGCAGGCCAGGCACAUAGAGAGUGCUGAGCUGACGGGACAGGCAAAGGCAGGAGAGUGGAGAAAUCCAGCCUUAGCAGCAGCGGAGCUUCCUCAUG
ensembl:lncRNA